AUGAGUCUGGACUGAGAACAAGACGAAAGAUGAGGAAGCUGAGGCCUGGUGCUCCUAAAGGGCUUGGUCAAGAGGCGGAGGUGGAGGUGGUGGAAGGCUGUUCCCCUGCGGAAGCCCUUUGGUGGCACGCGAGACCUGGCUCCGUGGCCACUGGACAGAUCUCCUGAAGCAGAAGUUUUCCGUGACUCCUGGAACAUCACCUUCUCUACGGGGAGCCAAGAACUCCCAGGAAGGGGCGGGCCUUGGAAUGCACAAGCCACAUCUCUGUCCGCUCUGGGGUGACACUAAGAGAAAGAAGAAGGCAGCAGCUCUCAUCUCAAUGUGUGUUCAUCCCAUUCAUCACUAGGAGCCUCCGUUUCAGUGCGUUCGGUGAUCAGGAGAUGAUUGUAUCUUUGAUCAAAGGUGUUUGUAUCUUUCCUAAUGUACUGACAUUCACGGGCUGCACAUCUGGCAGAAGGGGAGAGAGCAAGACCUCUGGGACGUUGUUAUCUUGGCUGGAGUCCAGAUCCCAUUCUGAUGUCUUCAGUAGAUGACUUAACUUCUUCAGCCUCAGUUUCCUCUUUGUGACAUUGGAGAGAUGCUGUUACCCACCUCUUAAGGAUGUUAUAAAAUACCAGCACGUAAGAGCUGCUUUAAACUACGAAGAACUUUGUAAAUGGUGGUAUGGUUUUAUUUAAUAGGAAAAGAAUAUGAGCAGGAAAAACUAUAUUCAUUUUUAAGAUAUAAAAUGUGUGGAAAAUUACAGUGAAUAGAUUUUAUAACACAUCCUCUUUCUCUGUAUGCACUGCAGAUUUUCACAUAAUUUUAAAAAAAUCACCGUAUGUCUGGAAAUCUUGCCUUAAAGUAGGUCUUUUUAAAAAGAUACUAUUAGGUUGAACCACAUAAAAUUACCACUCGUUCAGUCAAAAAUGGUCAAAUAUAAGCAAUUUCAUGUGGUUUGUCUGGAUGUUUUUUCUCAAAAAAAGUUUUAG